CAAAAAUACACAUUUCACUGCCAAACACAUUGAGCAUACUCAAUUCUUUAGCUGUCAAGCCUAUCGAGAAGACUCAAUUAGUUCCGAUGAAUCAGAUGUGAAGAAUGUCUUAGUCUAGCUGCUGUCAAAAUGGUCACUAGGCUUGGCUUUUCUUUUCUCUUCCAACAUCCACUUGAAAAGUUCACGCUGCUGAUCUUCGGGAAUGGGAUCCAAAACCUUUGGGGGUUUUGCAACAAUUGGAAGGAUCGGCGGUUCCUCAUGAACUAAAGCAUCCGUCACUGCAUCAGAAGACACAUCUGCUUCAGUUUCACUCUUGCUGUGCUCCUCCUCCUUUUUAGCAGGUUUGUUAUCAGCAAUGCUUGAGUUCUUCCUUCUUGCCUGUGCAAAUAUAUAUGCUGCAACGGGGAGCAAUAAUGUCAGCUAAUCCCGAAAGGUAACUUUGAAACGAAACAAAUUGUAUGUCCCAUCAUAGAAUUCAAAUGCAUAAAUAGAGGAUUGAGCUAAUUAUAACCAAA